rnacentral:rRNA from 1 species
GCCCUUAGAGUUUGAUCCUGGCUCAGGAUGAACGCUAGCGGCAGGCCUAACACAUGCAAGUCGAGGGGUAACAUAGAGUGCUUGCACUCUGAUGACGACCGGCGCACGGGUGCGCAACGCGUAUAGAAUCUGCCCUUUACUGGGGGAUAGCCCAGAGAAAUUUGGAUUAAUACCCCAUAGUAUACUAUUAUGGCAUCAUAAAAGUAUUAAAGGUUACGGUAAAGGAUGACUAUGCGUCCCAUUAGCUAGAUGGUAAGGUAACGGCUUACCAUGGCAACGAUGGGUAGGGGCCCUGAGAGGGGGAUCCCCCACACUGGUACUGAGACACGGACCUGACUCCUACGGGAGGCAGCAGUGAGGAAUAUUGGACAAUGGGCGAGAGCCUGAUCCAGCCAUGCCGCGUGCGGGAAGAAGGCCCUACGGGUCGUAAACCGCUUUUAUACGGGAAGAAACCCACCUACGUGUAGGUGGCUGACGGUACCGUAAGAAUAAGGACCGGCUAACUCCGUGCCAGCAGCCGCGGUAAUAAGGGCG